rnacentral:tRNA from 1 species
CUUUUAAAGGAUAGAAGCAAUCCAUUGGUUUUAGGAACCAUCCACCCU